CACGGAGUUAGCCGAUCCUUAUUCUUACGGUACCGUCAAGCUCCCUCACGAGGGAGUGUUUCUUCCCGUACAAAAGUAGUUUACACACCAUAGAUGCUUCAUCCUACACGCGGCAUGGCUGGUUCAGUCUUGCGACCAUUGACCAAUAUUCCUCACUGCUGCCUCCCGUAGGAGUCUGGUCCGUGUCUCAGUACCAGUGUGGGGGAUCUCCCUCUCAGGACCCCUACCCAUCGUAGCCUUGGUAUGCCGUUACCAUACCAACUAGCUAAUGGGACGCAUGCUCAUCUUGCACCGAAUUCUUUAAUAAUCUGUUGAUGCCAACAAAAAAUACUAUGAGGUAUUAAUCCAAAUUUCUCUGGGCUAUCCCUCAGUACAAGGCAGAUUGCAUACGCGUUACGCACCCGUGCGCCGGUCUCAAAGCCCGAAAAGCUUCUACCCCUCGACUUGCAUGUGUUAGGCCUGCCGCUAGCGUUCAUCCUGAGCCAGGAUCAAACUU
rnacentral:rRNA from 1 species